AGAAUAUGGGAGGAGUUACCCGAUUGCAACACGCGAUAGGUUCUGAUAUCGGUGUUAAAAAUUUGCGUUUAGUGUUUAACACCAACACAUAACACGACAUUUGAACUCAUUCUUCGUGUUAAUAUUGUUAUUUGUGGGAACCGGUUCUUUGCUAGGGCGGGAAAGUCAGUUAUGAAUUCUUUUUAACUGCAGGCCAGUUUCAAAAGGGAGAGAAACCCCCGGUAGAGCGAGAGAGUAAAAGCUGGAUGCAAGGCCUAUCGCCUUUAGUGUCUCCCUUAGUGUGACGAAGGGAGAGCUCUAUUUUUACUGCUUCCCGCAAGAGGUGCCCUAUAACUUGCUUGUGGUAGCCAAGCGUUCUUAGCGACGUUGCUUUUUAAUUCGCCAAGUGUUGGAUUGUUCAUCCACCAACAGGGAACGUGAGCUGGGUUUAGACCGUCGUGAGACAGGUUCGUCUACUGAUAGGGAACUCUUUAUGAACUAGUACAAGAGGAACG
rnacentral:ncRNA from 1 species